rnacentral:rRNA from 1 species
UGGGGAAUAUUGGACAAUGGGCGAAAGCCUGAUCCAGCCAUGCCGCGUGUGUGAAGAAGGUCUUCGGAUUGUAAAGCACUUUAAGUUGGGAGGAAGGGCAGUAAGCGAAUACCUUGCUGUUUUGACGUUACCGACAGAAUAAGCACCGGCUAACUCUGUGCCAGCAGCCGCGGUAAUACAGAGGGUGCAAGCGUUAAUCGGAAUUACUGGGCGUAAAGCGCGCGUAGGUGGUUCGUUAAGUUGAAUGUGGAAGCCCCGGGCUGAACCUGGGGACUGCAUCCAAAACUGGCGAGCUAGAGUAGGGCAGAGGGUGGUGGAAGUUCCUGUGUAGCAGUGAAAUGCGUAGAUAUAGGAAGGAACACCAGUGGCGAAGGCGACCACCUGGGCUCAUACUGACAAUGAGGAGCGAAAGCGUAGGGAGCAAACAGG